UACGGAGGGGGCAAGCGUUAAUCGGAAUUACUGGGCGUAAAGCGCACGCAGGCGGCUUGUUAAGUCAGAUGUGAAAUCCCCGCGCUUAACGUGGGAACUGCAUUUGAAACUGGCAAGCUAGAGUCUUGUAGAGGGGGGUAGAAUUCCAGGUGUAGCGGUGAAAUGCGUAGAGAUCUGGAGGAAUACCGGUGGCGAAGGCGGCCCCCUGGACAAAGACUGACGCUCAGGUGCGAAAGCGUGGGGAGCAAACAGG
rnacentral:rRNA from 1 species